rnacentral:rRNA from 1 species
GAUGAACGCUGGCGGCGUGCCUAAUACAUGCAAGUCGAGCGAACAGAUGAGGAGCUUGCUCCUCUGACGUUAGCGGCGGACGGGUGAGUAACACGUGGAUAACCUACCUAUAAGACUGGGAUAACUUCGGGAAACCGGAGCUAAUACCGGAUAAUAUAUUGAACCGCAUGGUUCAAUAGUGAAAGACGGUUUUGCUGUCACUUAUAGAUGGAUCCGCGCCGCAUUAGCUAGUUGGUAAGGUAACGGCUUACCAAGGCAACGAUGCGUAGCCGACCUGAGAGGGUGAUCGGCCACACUGGAACGGAGACACGGUCCAGACUCCUACGGGAGGCAGCAGUAGGGAAUCGUCCGCAAUGGGCGAAAGCUUGACGGAGCAACGCCGCGUGAGUGAUGAAGGUCUUCGGAUCGUAAAACUCUGUUAUUAGGGAAGAACAAAUGUGUAAGUAACUAUGCACGUCUUGACGGUACCUAAUCAGAAAGCCACGGCUAACUACGUG